AUUGACCCACGGGACGCAGCAGUAGGGAAUCUUCCACAAUGGACGAAAGUCUGAUGGAGCAACGCCGCGUGAGUGAAGAAGGGUUUCGGCUCGUAAAGCUCUGUUGGUAGUGAAGAAAGAUAGAGGUAGUAACUGGCCUUUAUUUGACGGUAAUUACUUAGAAAGUCACGGCUAACUACGUGCCAGCAGCCGCGGUAAUACGUAGGUGGCAAGCGUUGUCCGGAUUUAUUGGGCGUAAAG
rnacentral:rRNA from 1 species